GAUGAACGCUGGCGGCGUGCCUAAUACAUGCAAGUCGAGCGAACGGACGAGAAGCUUGCUUCUCUGAUGUUAGCGGCGGACGGGUGGGUAACACGUGGAUAACCUACCUAUAAGACUGGGAUAACUUCGGGAAACCGGAGCUAAUACCGGAUGAUAUUUUGAACCGCAUGGUUCAAAAGUGAAAGACGGUCCUGCUGUCACUUAUAGAUGGAUCCGCGCUGCAUUAGCUAGUUGGUAAGGUAACGGCUUACCAAGGCAACGAUGCAUAGCCGACCUGAGAGGGUGAUCGGCCACACUGGAACUGAGACACGGUCCAGACUCCUACGGGAGGCAGCAGUAGGGAAUCUUCCGCAGUGGGCGAAAGCCUGACGGAGCAACGCCGCGUGAGUGAUGAAGGUCUUCGGAUCGUAAAACUCUGUUAUUAGGGAAGAACAUAUGUGUAAGUAACUGUGCACAUCUUGACGGUACCUAAUCAGAAAGCCACGGCUAACUACGUG
rnacentral:rRNA from 1 species